GAUGAACGCUGACAGAAUGCUUAACACAUGCAAGUCGAUGGGGAAGUGGUGCUUGCACCAUGGCAACCAUGGCGGACGGGUGAGUAACGCGUAAGGGACUUACCUGCAGGACUGGGAUAACAGGGGGAAACUCCUGACAAGACCGGAUAAUGUCAUGGAGCUGCAUGGCUUUAUGAUGAAAGGAGACGCCUGCGGAGAGCCUUGCGUCCUAUUAGCUAGUUGGUGAGGUAAUGGCUCACCAAGGCGAAGAUAGGUAGCCGGCCUGAGAGGGUGGACGGCCACAAGGGGACUGAGAUACGGCCCUUACUCCUACGGGAGGCAGCAGUGGGGAAUAUUGGACAAUGGGGGCAACCCUGAUCCAGCAAUUCUGUGUGCACGAAGAAGGUUUUCGGAUUGUAAAGUGCUUGCAGCAGGGAAGAAGUAAGUGACGGUACCUGCAGAAGAAGAGACGGCUAAAUACGUG
rnacentral:rRNA from 1 species